rnacentral:rRNA from 1 species
AUGCAGUCGAACGCGUCUCCGUUAAUGAUUUUAGGUGCUUGCACUUGAAAGAUUUAACAUUGAGACGAGUGGCGAACUGGUGAGUAACACGUGGGUAACCUGCCCUUGAAGUAGGGGAUAACACUUGGAAACAGGUGCUAAUACCGUAUAACAACCAAAACCACCUGGUUUUGGUUUAAAAGACGGCUUCGGCUGUCACUUUAGGAUGGACCCGCGGCGUAUUAGCUUGUUGGUAAGGUAACGGCCUACCAAGGCGAUGAUACGUAGCCGACCUGAGAGGGUAAUCGGCCACAUUGGGACUGAGACACGGCCCAAACUCCUACGGGAGGCAGCAGUAGGGAAUCUUCCACAAUGGACGAAAGUCUGAUGGAGCAACGCCGCGUGAGUGAUGAAGGGUUUCGGCUCGUAAAACUCUGUUGUUGGAGAAGAACAGGUGUCAGAGUAACUGUUGACAUCUUGACGGUAUCCAACCAGAAAGCCACGGCUAACUACGUGCCAGCAGCCGCGGUAAUACGUAGGUGGCAAGCGUUGUCCGGAUUUAUUGGGCGUAAAGCGAGCGCAGGCGGUUUUUUAGGUCUGAUGUGAAAGCCUUCGGCUUAACCGGAGAAGUGCAUCGGAAACCGGGAGACUUGAGUGCAGAAGAGGACAGUGGAACUCCAUGUGUAGCGGUGAAAUGCGUAGAUAUAUGGAAGAACACCAGUGGCGAAGGCGGCUGUCUGGUCUGUAACUGACGCUGAGGCUCGAAAGCAUGGGUAGCGAACAGGAUUAGAUACCCUGGUAGUCCAUGCCGUAAACGAUGAGUGCUAAGUGUUGGAGGGUUUCCGCCCUUCAGUGCUGCAGCUAACGCAUUAAGCACUCCGCCUGG